GGCUCUCGGCUUCUCUCGACCCGCGCUCGCCCGCCUCUGCCGGCUCCCGCCAACCUGCAGAGGGCUGAGCCCGCCGGGACCAGGAUCCGCCCCUCGAAGGGAGGCUGCGCGUGGGAAAGGGAAGGCACACUCAGUUGUUUGUAAAUUGGGGGGUGGAGUGGGUACCUGAAGGAGAAGAACACAUUGGAGGUGAAUUGUAGGCCCCGGACCUCCGAUCCUUUUUCGCGGCCUGGGAUUGGGGCCCGGGAGUAGGGGAGGAGGAUAUCCGGGGAAGAGAACAGCAUGCGGGGCGUGCUGUCCUGGCACCUCGUGAUCUCAGAGUUCUCGAAAAGGGAUCGAACUCGGGACCUUGCGCUUGUGAGGCAGGCACUUGAACCACUAAGCUAAAUCCCCGACCCCAUGACUGUAUUUCUUUGGAGAAAGAUGAUUGGCUGCAGAGGAGAAUUGAGUACAAGAAUGGAGAGAGAUAAGAGAUGAGAGAAUAAUUAGCAGGUGAGUCCAGUAUUCAGAUCAGGUACCCAAUGU
rnacentral:lncRNA from 1 species